rnacentral:rRNA from 1 species
GUGGGGAAUUUUGGACAAUGGGCGCAAGCCUGAUCCAGCCAUGCCGCGUGCAGGAUGAAGGCCUUCGGGUUGUAAACUGCUUUUGUACGGAACGAAACGGUCCGGGUUAAUACCCUGGGCUAAUGACGGUACCGUAAGAAUAAGCACCGGCUAACUACGUUCCAGCAGCCGCGGUAAUACGUAGGGUGCAAGCGUUAAUCGGAAUUACUGGGCGUAAAGCGUGCGCAGGCGGUUUUGUAAGACAGGCGAGAAAUCCCCGGGCUCAACCUGGGAAUUGCGCUUGUGACUGCAAGGCUGGAGUGCGGCAGAGGGGGAAGGAAUUCCGCGUGUAGCAGUGAAAUGCGUAGAUAUGCGGAGGAACACCGAUGGCGAAGGCAAUCCCCUGGGCCUGCACUGACGCUCAUGCACGAAAGCGUGGGGAGCAAACAGGAUUAGAUACCCGGGUAGUCC